rnacentral:lncRNA from 1 species
UGGGGUUCAUUAACAGCACUGGCAGAUGCUUUUCUGGUUGGCAACUAUCCCUUGCAGCAGGCAGAGGCUUUCUGCACGUGGAGUGUGGCUGUGACUGUGCAGUGGUCAGUGUGUGAGCUGUGGCAUAUGGAAGAGGACAGCGAACUUGGAAUCAGAAGGUGGGAGUCGCAGCUCUGCUUCUUGCCACAUGGAUGGGAUCAUCAUUUAUAAACACACGAGGGAACAAUCUGCCAUGAAGAAGAGUCAGCCAACACAGGAAAGAGGGGAAGUGGAAUAAAAGGGUAGACUUGUUGGUUAAGAACCCUGAA